rnacentral:rRNA from 1 species
CCUACGUGAGGCAGCAGUGGGGAAUAUUGCGCAAUGGGCGAAAGCCUGACGCAGCGACGCCGCGUGAGGGAUGAAGGUCUUCGGAUCGUAAACCUCUGUCAGCAGGGAAGAACGGUCACUGUGCUAAUCAGCAGUGAAUUGACGGUACCUGCAAAGGAAGCACCGGCUAACUCCGUGCCAGCAGCCGCGGUAAUACGGAGGGUGCGAGCGUUAAUCGGAAUUACUGGGCGUAAAGCGCUCGUAGGCGGUAUGUCAAGUCAAGGGUGAAAUCCCCGCGCGCAACGUGGGAACUGCCUUUGAAACUGGCAAACUGGAGUGUGUGAGAGGAUAGUGGAAUUCCAGGUGUAGCAGUGAAAUCCGUAGAUAUCUGGAGGAACAUCAGUGGCGAAGGCGACUAUCUGGCACAUAACUGACGCUGAGGAGCGAAAGCGUGGGUAGCAAACAGGAUUAGAUACCCUUGUAGUC